UGCGUUUUUGACCUGUAUUUUUAUUUUUAAUCCCGUAUUUGUUGGGCUGGACCGUAUAAUAGUGUAUACAUGAUGUAUUUCAGCCUGUUUUCAGCCUUUGAGACCUGUAAUGCAACUCCUCUUUCGAUUGUUUCAACUUCCGAAUUUCAAACAGAGAUGAAGGCCGACUCAAAAUGCAACACGGAUGUGGACAACAAAGUCCAAGAGACUCGGUUGAC